AUUUCGGUCCUUCGCAAUGGAAACCCGUGAACCGUGUCAGGUUGGGAACAAAGCAGCACUAAGCGGGAUCUUUCAUGUGACGAGGGGGUUCCGGGAAGGA
rnacentral:SRP_RNA from 1 species